UGUAGAACUUGUCAACAACAUGGGGGCCUCACUCAAAUCAAGGUCAGACAAAGAUUUUGAUUGUCGUUAGCGCCUCCUAGGCCCUGCUUACGAGGCAACUUACUCAUAAAUGAACGGAACAUCCCCGAGGAGGCGCCAUGGCGACGUUUACAGCAUAGAACAAGGCCUAGAAGCUUUACGCCGUGGGUGCUGAUUUGCAUUUUUCGCGAGGCGUCAUUUUCGGUAUCAGGGAAAGGCGUUGUUUCUUGCUCAAGUUGUUUGCUUUCUGCGACCAAUAAUUUAUUAAAACAUGAGUUUUAGACCUUGUUGUGUGCCUAUCAGUGCGAUGAUAUUUGUUCUAAACGGUGUUCAUUUCCUAGAAGACUAGUAUGUCUGGUUUUCAAGAUUACUACAUACAUUAUUCGCUCUACAUACUACAUACAUUUCGAAGGUUUCCAAGGUGUUGCUUCCAUAGAGAAUAGCUUCCUGGCAAAAGACGCUUAGUGCAACCCAUAGUCAAACCGGGCGAUAUUCCUGGACCAUCGCUCGAAUAUGUUCAUGGCACAUUAAAUAUCGCCACAGUUCCGGGCUCCAAAGACACUCUUUCCAGGGAGAGCAGCACAAAUCACUCAGCUCGAAAGGCACCUGAAUUGUGUACCCCGAAAAAAAUUAAAGCUGUCACCAGUACAAAUUCUGCAAGGGCCACACAGUUUCGAGGGUAAGGUAAGGAGACUUAAUUUGAAAGCAGUAAAAGUUACACAGCAAAAGCAUUUGUCGCCUCGCAACAAAAUUUUGUAUUAGGGCGUAAAGAAUUUGGUACAUCGCCAACAGGUGAGAAACCUAUAUGUAAUUAUGUUAUCCAUACAAAUGCCUAAAUAUCUAUCUGCAUUAGUAAUUGUACUAAAUUAAUGAAUUUGUUUUGCUACUUUGAAUUAGGUAUUUGUUUAAUUUCUGAAUUUUUGAUUCAUAACAUGAUUUUGCUUCUUGAG